CAAAGCUCACCCAAGUGAGAGGCCAUGUUGGCUACAGCUGGGAGAAGACUUUGCAAAGAAAUAUGUUGCUGCUGCUUUUAUCUUGUGCUUCUCAGCCUACAAAAUGCUCACCAAUUCCUGAUACAGCACAACCACCAGGAACUCCUCCCAAAUGUUCUCAAAGAAUAUACUGUGUUUUC